rnacentral:rRNA from 1 species
UACGUAGGUGGCAAGCGUUGUCCGGAUUUACUGGGCGUAAAGAGCGCGCAGGCGGUCGUUCAAGUCGCGUGUGAAAGCCCCCGGCUCAACUGGGGAGGGUCACGCGAUACUGAUCGACUCGAAGGCAGGAGAGGGUAGUGGAAUUCCCGGUGUAGUGGUGAAAUGCGUAGAUAUCGGGAGGAACACCAGUGGCGAAGGCGGGUCUCUGGGCCGUAACUGACGCUGAGGAGCGAAAGCGUGGGGAGCGAACAGG